CCAGGCUCUCAGCCUCCCAAUUAGCUGGGAUUACAGGUGUGUACCACCACACCCUGCUCUUACUGUCUUUCAGAUGCAAGGCUGGCUCUGAAAAAAUACAUGACAAAGGUUACUUUAACAAUUACAGACCCAGAAAAGGGACCAGGGAAGCUUCUUAAGGAAGACAAGGUACGGUACUGUGAUUGUUUCUUGUUCUGAAAAUUCUGAGAAUUUUGCCUCACAUCUUAAUUCACACACUAAUGCUGUAGAGACCAGGAGGGAGGGAGGAGGGUGAAGGGAAAGGGGAAAGAAGGCGGAGAGAAGCCUCCUUUGCUUCUGACCUUCAUAAACUGGGGACAAGGGACAGACUGAACAAAAUGGAAUGAAGUCAUGUUGAACAGUGACACAGAGAUGUGCUAAAUAUCACCCCUGACAGCUUGGAUGAAGGUCAGAAAUGUUGAGUGGAAACCACUCACCACAGACCAAAGAUAUUUAUAAAGGAAUGCCUACAUAUGGGGGCAAAACUUUUUUUUUUUUUUAAGCAAACAAAAGGAUGAGCAAAGAUGGUGUUUCUCUCCCGGGGUGGGGGGGCAGGAAGCAAAGCUGGGCUUGUCGUACUGGUAGGGCUCUGUUCUGGUGCAGCCUUGGGGUCCAAUGAUGUUCAUUUCAUUAUUUUCCUUCAAAACUUAGAUGUAUAUCAUACAUUUUAACAUAUAUGCAUAUGCACAUAUACAUUACAUAUUUUUUAGUGUAUCAAAUUUUCCAUAAUGGGGAAAAAAGAUACAUAGAUAGGAAGGUAGCUAACUAUGGAGCCAGCCUGCCACCUUGCUAUAUUUAAGUACUGUCUGUGAACUAGUUUAUUGAUUUGGAUGUGUAUUAAAUAUAUGCUCAAGGUAUCAGAAAUACAUUUUGGUUUCAAAUUACCUCAUGCAUUUCUGUGCAGGAUGCUCUGACAUAAUUUAUUUAAUUUUCUCUGACACAAUUUAUAUGAAAAAGAAUUAGCCAUUGCUAAGAAGACAUCAGCAAUUCUGAGAACUUGAUAAGUUACACAUUGCACUUGAAUCUUAUAAAACACUCUACAGAAUCUCUUGUGAAACAAACAAUAUAAAGGAAAAAUUCUAUUGGAAUAGCUUCUGGAGCUAUUAGAUCUGCAAAACAAAACUUUCUUGGUACAAAGGAAUAGUGCUUUGUUAGCAAUUAGAAAAGUCAGUUUAUCAAUUUUUUAAAAUUUAGUUAUCUGAGUUACAAAAUGUGUACUCAGAAAUCACUAAAAAAAAAAAAAUGAAACAACUAAAACACUUGCUUCAAUUUCCAGUCUUCUACCAUGUGGAUCUCAUAAUAAUUUUGUGCUAAUUUCAUCAUAUUUUUUUCUUCACUUAUAAAAACAUAUGCAUGUCCAUAUAUAAUAGGGAUCCAUAAGGGAUAUAUAUAUAUAUAUAUAUAUAUAUAUAUAUAUAUAUAUAUAUUUUUUUUUUUUUUUAAAUAAAAAUGGGAUCAUUGGGGCUGCAGUCGUGGCUCAGUGGUAGAGCGCUUGACUUGCACAUGUGAGUCACUGGGUUCGAUCCUCAGCACCACAUAAAAAUAAAUAAAUAAAAUAAAGGUAUUGUGUAUAAAAAAUGUUUUAAAACAUGGGAUCAUACUAGUCAUAUUAUUCUAUAAUUUGCUUUUCCUCCUCUUAAUAAUAUCCACCCCCCUUUUUUUUUUGGGUAGAGGGGAUUGAAUCCAGGGGCAUUCUACCAGUGAAACACAUCCCCAGCCCUCAAGGUCUCCCUAAGUUGCUGAGGCUGGCCUGGAACUUGCCAUCCUCCUGCUUCAGUCUCCCUACUAGUUGGGCUUACAGGGGUGUGAGGACAUGCUGGGCUCCUAAUAAUAUCUCAUGAAACCUUUCUAAAUCCACUUCUGCAUCUGUUGCUACUUUAUAGUAUGGACAGGACACAUCUCACACUUAUUGAGUUCCCUGUAUUAUUACAAACCGAAGUGCAAUGAACAUUUUUCUCUGUUUUCACUUUUUAAUUGAAUUCUUUGUCACAUUGUUCAUAUUUAUGAGGUAUGUCAUGAUAAAUGUCUUAAGUCAGACACCAAAAGUUUGCUGCAUUGUGCAGUGAGGUGGUUUUUACAAUGCAUGUCAAGAGAGGUUUCCGGUGAGGCGGAGCUUUUCUUGGAUGUCAUGAACUUCCUCCCCUAGUGAACCAUUGGAGAGAUCAGCUCCCUUUCUAGCCUUUGCAAACCACUUCUCUUUGUCACAGGGCUUAAAGAAAAUAGAGGAUUAGGAAGAGAGCACAGGGCUUCUUGCCUCUUGGUGGUGAGUUUCAUUAACUCCUAUCCCACGAUGUGAGAGCUGCACUGUUCAGCUCAGCAGCCACAAGCCACAUGUUGCUGUUUAAAUUUGAAUGAUUUAAAAUUAAACAAAAUUUAAAAUCCAUUUCCUCAAUCAUACUAGUCACAUUUCUAGGCUCAACAGCUAGACAUCUUUAAUGGCUACUGCAUUAGCCGACGCAGACGCAGAACCACAGGCCUGGAUUGUGCUAGUUUGGGGAGACUGUGGGGGGACUGUAGCUCCAAGGUAGAACACAGCGAGGACCCUAGCUCAAGCAAGUGCCUGGUUCCAUCCCCGGUACUUCAGGGAAAGAAAGAAAGAUUCCUAGAGAUACUGUAGAGUUUGAUUUUCAACAAAUAGGUGGAAAAUACAGUCUCUAUUUCUAUCCCUAGAACAUUGUCCUCGGUGCGUGUCAGGCAAAAAACGAGUGGCUGGAAACCCACCCGGACGCGUCCAUUGAUGAGCUUUUUGAGCAGAAACAACUAUUGGAAGAUAUCGUGACUCCCAUCCUUGUAAAAAUGACUAUGCCACGUAAGUUUGAGGUAAAAGGUGAUGCUGACUGUCAAGAAGGAUGGAAUUAGGUUCAGUGUUGUUAUUUCUGAGAUGCUGUGAUUUUAACAACCCGUUAAGUAGUCAUUAACUUUUUACCAGCACUGAUCCAUGGCACAGUAUCAUGAUGAUUCCUGGUAUCAUUAUGAAUAAAAACUACUAAUAACAACUGAAUUCUUUAUAUAGGAAAUGCCUAAUAAUAAUAUUGAUAUGACUAUCAUCCGUCAUUAAGUUUUAUGUGAUUACUAUGCCUUUGAUUUUGGCCAGUGAUUUCCAAAUGUGUAAGGGAGAGAGGGUAACAGAAUUUAAAAUUUUAAAAAAUGUUUUUUUAGCAUUUUAAUUAUGUAUUGGAGGAAAAUCUGCUGUGGGAAUACCAUGCUCAAGAGUGGGAAGGUGGUGUAUGGGUCUUGGUGGAGGCAUACCUGAGAUUCUUGCAAUAACAGCUUUAUUGAGAUACAAUUCUCCUACCAUAAAAGUCAACUUUUUGAAGGGUCCAGUUCAGUGGUUUUCAGUAUAGUCAAAAAGCUAUAUAAUUAUCACUACUCUCUAAUUUUAGUACAAAUUUUACUACCCGCAAAAGAAACCCUGUAUCGUUGGCAGACUCUUCCCAUCCCUCCCUCCCAAGCCCUGGCAACCACUAAUCCACUGUCCAUAUAUCUGUGGAUUUGUCUGUUCUGAACAUCUCAUAAAUAGAAACAAACUAUGUGUUGCCUUUUGUGGCUGACAUCUGUCACUUAGUGUGUUUUUUAGGUUCAUCCACAUUGGGACAUGUGUCAGUACUUCUUUCCUUUUUAUAACUGAAAACAUUCUGUGUAUGGAUACAAAUUUAAUCCAUUCAUCAGUUGAUGGACAUUUAAGUUUCCACUCUUUUUUCUUAUUAAAAUAAUGCUGCUGUGGGCUUUUAUGUAUGAAUUUUUGUGUGGGCACACGUUUUCAGUUUUCUCUGGUAUAUAAAUAGAGGUGGACUUGCUGGGUCACGUGGUAGCUGUGUCUGAGCUUUUGAGGAGCUGCCAAACUGUUCCAUUUUCCAUCCCCACCAGCAGUCUCCAAUUUCUCCAUCUUGGUCUUUUUGUACAUUUUAGCCAUCUUGAGGAGUGGUAUCUUACCAUAGUUCUGAUUUGCGUUUUCCUAAUUACUAAUUAUCUUUUGUGUGUUUAUUGGCCCUUUGUAUAUUUUCUCUGGAGAAAUGUUUAAUUCUUCAUCGUUUUAAAGUUGGUUUGUCUUUUUUUUUUUUAGCAUAUACUUGCUUUAUACCUUUAUUUUAUUUAUUUACUUUUAUGUGGUGCUAAGGAUGGAACCCAGGGCCUCGCACAUGCAAGGCAAGUGCUCUACCGCUGAGCCACAACCCCAGCCCCUGUCUUUUUAUUAUUUAUUUAUUUUUGUUGAUACUGAGGAUUGAACCCAGGGGUGCUUUACCACUAAGCUACAUCCCCAGUCCUUUUUAUUAUUUAUUCUGAGACAGGGCCUUGCUAAGUUGUUGACUGGCCUCAAACUUGCAAUUCUCUUGCCUGAUCUUCCCAAGUAGCUGGGGUUGCAGGCAUAAGCCACUGCAGUUGGCUUUUUAUUAUUUAGUGUAAGAGUUCUUCAUAUAUUUUGGAUACAAACCCCUUAUCAGAAGUAUGAUUCUGUUAUCUUCUCCAAUUCUGAGGAUUAUCUUUUCAUUUUCUUAACUAUAUCUUUUAAAGCAUGAAAGAUCUUAAUUUUAUGAAGCAUAAUUUAUCUAUUUUUUCUUUUGUUGGUUUCAGUGUCAUAUCUAAAAAACUGUUGCCUAAUCCACGGUUACCAAGAUUUAAUUCUACUUUUUCUUCUAAGAGUUUUUAGUUUUAGUUUCACAUUUAGUUCUGUGAGCCAUCUUGUGUGGGUUUUUCUUUUGUUCAUGGUGUGAAAUGGGGUUUCAUUCUUUUACCUAAGAUUUUUUUUAUGUUUAUCAAAAGUUGUGGAUUUUAACAGGUCAGGACCCUGCACCUCCUCUAGGUGAUGUGGCAGAAUAUUUCUUACUGUCAUUAAUUAACACCUAGUUAGCAUUCAGGUAGCACUGUCCUUGGGACCCUGAAGGGAGACAGAGGCUUUGGAAUGUCCCCUAGUUUGUAGGUAACACACAUACAUCUGAAAAAAGUGAAGUAAGUGCUAUAUGUAUUCAGAGAAGCCGAAGCUGGAGAGAAAGCAUCACGGAGCAAGAGGAAUUGUCCCCUUGAAGCCAGGGUGGAGGGAUAUGAAGGGACUUCCAGAAUGGAAGCCCAGCAAGGAGGAAAGCUCCAGAGGGGAGCAGAGGGGAGCCCAUGCCCAGCUGCUCCGUGUCAUCCCUUCAGGACAACAGGAGACAAGGCUGCAGCGUUCACUCUUGAUCAUUUUAUUAAAACUGCUGUAAGAAGGGGCUGGGGCUGGGGCUCAGUAGUAGAGGGCUCUCCUAGCAAGUGUGAGGCCCUGGGUUCAAUCCUCAGCACCACAUAAAAAUAAAUAAAUAAAAUAAAGGUAUUGUGUCCAUCUACAAGUAAAAAAAAAUAUAUAUUUAAAAAAGUAUCUGCUGUAGGAAGCUUAGAUGUUUGGACUUUAUUUUCUGGGCAGUGGAGUGCUGUUAAAUAGGCUUUGGUGUAAAGAGAGAGGAAUUAAAUAGGGGAGAAUAUAGUACAGAGACUAGUACAAGUCCAGGAGUGGUCGGAUUAGACCUCAAUUGCUACGUGUUCCACCACUGCCCCUGGCCUGGCCCAAACCCUCCCCUGCAGUAGGAUCACCUCUCUCCCCUGGUUUACAUCCCCCAAGGAGCACUUCCAUGUCAUAGAAUGUGGGAUCUUGAUGGGUCCCCUAAAUGGUCUUCAUUGCACAUGAAGAAAAGGAGACAAGAGAGGUUCACAGAGUAUGCAAAAUGACUAGUCAACUGCCAAACUGGGGAGGCUAAUGCCAGUGAUAUGGGAAAUGUGACUCCCUGCUUUGCAUAUUCGAAAAACAAAGGAGGAGAGAGUAUUCAGUUGAGGUACCAGCCGGGAACUAGUGGCUUCCUCCUUGCUCAUUUUUAAGAAACUGGCUUCAUCUAUUUUCUGCCACAGCUAAUGAAAUGUAAUUUUAAAAUCUGCUUCCUUUCAGGUCAAGUGAAAAGUGGCAAAUCUGUAACCUAAGCGUGGUCAGAAGAGAAGUCAAGCUCACGCUUUCUACGGAACGUACAUUUUAUUUCUAGUAUCAAAGAUAAACCUAUGGAUGCCACUUGGGUCAAGUAACUGGAUAUGGGGUUUUAUAAAAAUGCUCGGGUACAAACUCAGUCAUCCUUGCUUUAUUCCCCUGUGGGGCCUGCUGACUGCAGACUCCGGCCUCGCCCCUCUCCUGCAAGCUCAGCUCCACGGCUUUCAAAGGCUCCUUCCUUCAGGAACUCACUGGGUAGAAAUCAUUCACGAAGACAUAUGGAGGCUUUGAAAACCACUUAGAAAACUUAAUAAUUUUCUGUAUAACUGAAACAAGAAAUUUUUAUCAACUGGGGAAUUCCAUCUAAAAAAGAUAGUUAUUCCCAGAGGGGGGAAAUGUUCUCCCUCUCUCAGAAGGAAAUCUUAGCGUGGUAUGGUGGUGCAUGCCUGUAAUCCCAGUAGCUCAGAGGCUGAGGCAAGAGGAUUGAAAGUUCAAAGCCAGCCUCAGCAACUUAGUGAGGCCCUAAAACAACUUAGAGACACCCUGUCUCUAAAUAAAAUACUUUUUUAAAAAGGGCUGAGGAUCUGGCCUAGUGGUUAAGCACCCCCUGGGUUCAAUCCGCGGGUACCAAAAGAAAAAAAAAAAAAGAAAAAAAAAACAUCUAUGGGAAGACAUUUUUGAGCAAGGAAAUAGAAAUUGUUUGGAUCAGGGUCCUUUAGUAUUACUUUUUAUUUACAAAUUAAAAUUCACCUGUAAGGUGAGAUAUAGUCUCUGAGUAAAAUCCCUGUUUAUCUUUAACUUCUUUGUAUUUUUAGAUUAAUAAACACGCAUCUGUGUAGUUUUAUAUUUAGAAGCGCUCCCUAUUCUGUAGGUUCGGCAGCAUAGAAAUAAUGGAACGCCACACCAGUAUCCCUCCUGUUCUGUUUUAUAUUUCCUAGAUUUUAACUGUCAUACUUGGUUUCCCAUUGGAGAUUGGAAAAUCUUUUUUUUUUCUUAUUUUUUUAUUUCUUUAUUCAGUGAAGCCCCUGAAUCUUCUAUUUCCUUGUGACCUUCAGGGAAAUUUUAAUAGAAAAGAAAAUGUUAACCAAAAAAAUCCCAUUUAUUCCUUGCUCUUGUGACCUUUUCCUCUUUGUCUUGCUCUGAAAGCUAGUUUUUCCAUUUUAGGAAGAAGGAAUAUAAAUUAGCAAUUUGGUAAUGUUUUUCCACUCAACAUUUUCUCAACCAUGAUUUUGAGAUAACUUUUAAAUGUCUCCUAAAUUUUUAAAAUUUGAGAUGAUUUUAUGCAUGAGCACUGCAGUUCCAGUUUCCUUGAGCGACAGCACAGGGCAAUGUCCCCAUUUCUGGUGGGCUCCCAGGGGUUUACAGAACAGCACAGAGGAGCUCUGUCUGCUCCACUCUGUCCACAUGGUGUCUGUAAGCACUGCAAUAAUCCGGGGAGAGCAGGCGGUAUUUUCGUUGUUUCUGUUCUAACUCUGCUUUCGGAGCUUGAUCCUGAGGACAGCACCUCUCUCCAGGUGCGUGUUCCUGGGGAGUAGAGGGAAUCCUGGGUCUAACCUCUGGGAUUCUGAAAGAACACUGAAGCAUUUCUGGAAACCCCCUAGAAUAAAAUAAACUCCUCUUUCCCUUUUUUUUUUUUUUUUUGUUUCUCAGUCUUUAUCCUUAAACCUUUUGUAGCUUUUGAUAGAUUUGCUAAUGCUCGAUUUAUAAAACUCUUUGUAUCGGCACCUUUAUGCCAAUCACGAUUCCUGUUCUUUCUUACAAUCUGCCUUUCCACCCUCUUCACCACCUCCUCUUCUUUAUCUUGCCCAGCCGUGGGAACCUCUCAGAAUUCAGUCCUGACCCCUGGUGAAGCAUUUGUAAUUCUCUGCUCCAUCACCCUCCCUGUCCCCAAUAUUAUAAGGAACUAAUGAGGCGGGUAGCCUCAUUCUGUGUUCUAUUCAAUUGUUCACACUUUUAUCUCUGCAAGUGAAUUCAGAGCUUUUUGAAGGGAGAGACUGUGUUCUUCCUUAUACCUAAAGAGCUGUAAGAUCGUAAAUUAGUAAACAGUAGGUGAAUGAAAUCACCGUUAACAUGACCUUUUUCUUAGAAGAACUCAUGAGCUCUUCAUUCAUCUCCGGAGCUUCUUGUCUUUAUAAAUGACUCCCAGACCUUUUCUCCAUACCUUGCUUAUGCCUGUGCUCCAUUUCAACUCCUCCUCCUCCAACAGUACGGGUCACACACAUCCAGCAUUGUGACUCUAGUCUGGUUUCUGCUGCGACCUGUUUCCUAAGUUUUUUCUGGAGUGUCCUAUCUUUCAGGCAUGUGAACCCAGUGACACCAAGGGAUUCCUAGGUCUCAUUUCUAGGAUUCCUUUGAUGUGGGGAUCUGAACAUUUAUUCAUCUCUAUAGAUCUAUAACUUUUGUCUAUUUGGAGAGGUGGUAUUUCUUGUUGCCUGUUGUUGUGCUGAAGUAUAAAUAGAUUUGUGGACGAGUUAGAGUCCCUUGUGCUUUCAGUUACAGUUACCCGGGUAGCUGCAUGUCUUUUCCUGAACUUCAAGAGUAAUUACUACUUCAGAGUACAUACUAACAACUCAAGAUAGCCUCCACAGUAUUUGAGAGGCAUUCUGUUAGGAUAAAUUCUAGAUAGUGGUUCUUUAGACUUUUGUGUUUCAUUGAUCAGAAAAAUGUAAAAAAAAAAAAAGGUGGGGGAGGAGAUUGAUAUGAUGUCAUUAAGAAAACAACUACUGCCUAUACUACUUUCAUUUAAUAAAACACAUUUAACAUCAGAAAAGUUGGGGAGAUUACCCUUUAGAUUGAAUAAAUUAAGCUUUAUUUUAGAACUUUAUGUUAGAUUUCUUGUUGUCAUUUUGCCAUGUACAAUGGAACUUCUGUUAUGAGUCAGAACUGACGUGUGGUCCAGCCUUUGAGAAUUGCUGCUCUAGACUAAGCGAAGCAGUUGGGCUGCUAGUUAGGCUCUCAUGGUGCUCCAAGUUGUGAAGGACUGGCAGUUGCCUCAGUGUUCAGUCUGAUACGUGGUGGACCGUGCUCUCUCCAAGACGGGCCCUUCCCCCUUCUCAUGUGCUGUUCUUGCCUUGUGAUUGUGAGAGGAAGGGGUAUCUGUCCUCUCCUGGUGAAUCUGGGCAGGCCUGUGACCACAGUGAAAGUGAUUAUAUGUGCUCUCCAAGGCUAGAUCAUAAGCGGUGACAUGGCUUUGGCUUAGUUCUCUUAAGAUGCUUGCACUUAGAAACCAGCCUGUGGAGAGGGCCACACGGAAAAGAACAGAGGCCUCAGGCCCCAGCCCCAGGCCCAGGCCACAGCCCCCUCUAGCCAGCCACCUUCCCCAACUUGCCAGGCAUAGAAGAGAGUCAUCCUGAAAGUGGAUUCUUCAGUCAAGCCACUGAACUGAUGCUGAAUGUAGCAGAGACCAACUUUCUCAGCUGAGCCCUGCCCAAUUUGCAGAUCUGUGAGCUAAAUAAAUGAUAGUUGUUGUUUUAAGAGGCUCAGUUUUGUGUUCUUUUAUGUAAGCAAUAAAACAUGCACAUUUUGGAAACUGGAAAUGAGAAAUUGACAAAACAACACCUAAAACAUGUGACAUUGGUUUUGGGAUUGCAUGGUAGAUAGAAGCCAGAAAUUUCCAGGGUGGGGUCUGAG
rnacentral:lncRNA from 1 species